rnacentral:rRNA from 1 species
ACGAACGCUGGCGGCGUGCUUAACCCCUGCAAGUCGAACGGUGAAGCGCCUUCCUUUUUGGUGGGUGUGGAUGAGUGGCGAACGGGUGAGUAACACGUGAGUAACCUGCCCCCUUCUUCUGGAUAACCGCAUGAAAGUGUGGCUAAUACGGGAUAUUCUGGGUCUGUCGCAUGAUGGGUCUGGGAAAGAUAUUGUUUCGGUGGGGGGUGGGCUCGCGGCCUAUCAGCUUGUUGGUGGGGUGAUGGCCUACCAAGGCGGUGACGGGUAGCCGGCCUGAGAGGGUGGACGGUCACACUGGGACUGAGACACGGCCCAGACUCCUACGGGAGGCAGCAGUGGGGAAUAUUGCACAAUGGGCGCAAGCCUGAUGCAGCGACGCCGCGUGAGGGAUGGAGGCCUGCGGGUUGUGAACCUCUUUCGCCAGUGAAGCAGGCCUGCCUCGUUUGUGGGUGGGUUGACGGUAGCUGGAUAAGAAGCGCCGGCUAACUACGUG